AAGUCGUAACAAGGUCUCCGUAGGUGAACCUGCGGAGGGAUCAUUAACACUAUUUGUAUGACUACUUAUACUAGUCAUUCAAAUUUCCACACACAACGUGAAUUUGUUGGUUCGAAAGAACUGACCAAUACUAUAACUUCGCUUGAGGAUAGGUCGCCGUCGGGACGAAGUGAGUCCUGCAUACUUGUCUUUUGACGAAGUAUGUCGGUCACCACCGCUUCCGUUUCCUCAACUGGGGUUUUUUUGGGAGGUAUGACACUUCACAUGCCUCGUCCCCCUUUUUGCCUUUUUUUUCAACCAUAAGCCAAUUGACUGAUGUAAUUGAAGUAGAUCGACAGGUUUAUCUUCAAUAAGAAUUAUCUAAACUAAGCACAACUCUUAGCAACGGAUAUCUUGGUUCUC
rnacentral:misc_RNA from 1 species